rnacentral:rRNA from 1 species
UACGGGGGGGGCAAGCGUUGUUCGGAAUUACUGGGCGUAAAGGGCUCGUAGGUUGCCAACUAAGUCAGACGUGAAAUCCCUCGGCUUAACCGGGGAACUGCGUCUGAUACUGGAUGGCUUGAGUUCGGGAGAGGGAUGCGGAAUUCCAGGUGUAGCGGUGAAAUUCGUAGAUAUCGGGAGGAACACCAGUGGCGAAGGCGGCGAUCUGGGAAGAUACUGACGCUGAGGUGCGAAAGCGUGGGGAGCAAACAGG